rnacentral:rRNA from 1 species
GACGUAGGUGGCGAACGUUAUCCGGAAUCAUUGGGCGUAAAGGGUGCGUAGAUGGCAUGAUAAGUUAUUAGUGGGAAAUCGAGGCUCAACCUCGUGGAAGCUGGUAAUACUGUUUUGCUUGAGUGCAGGAGAGGUUAACGGAACUCCAUGUGGAGCGGUAAAAUGCGUAGAGAUCGGAAGGAACACCAGUGGCGAAGGCGGCUACCUGGACAGAUACUGACGCUGAGGCGCGAGAGCGUGGGGAGCAAACAGG